rnacentral:rRNA from 1 species
UUUUUUAAUUGGAGACUGGAAUGAAAGGUAGAUACUGAAGGGGAGGUUUUUCAUAAUAAUUUUGAAUUUAAUUUAAAGGUAAAAAAGCUUUUAUUAAUCCUUGGGACGAGAAGACCCUAAAAGUUUUAAAUAAAAAUAUUUUUGAUUGGGGUAAUUAUUGAAGAUGGAGAUUUUUAAUUAAAGAAUAUGUGGUGGAGAAAUUACUUUAGGGAUAACAGCGUUAUUUAAUUAAUGAGUUCUUAUUAAGAAUUAAGUUUGCGACCUCGAUGUUGAAUUAAAU